GGUAUUGAGUUCCAAUGUUUGGGAUACUGACCUGCCAAUUAUCUUUUGAGGGAGAUUGUUUAAAUUUAAGAGACCGGCAGAAGACGACUGAGAGCUCAGGGAGGAUUAUAGAACAAAAGCGAUUCUGUGAUGUUCUCUGGUCCCACACCAUUGAGAGCUUUCAAAAAGAUGCUACCUGGCCUGCUGAGUUCCUCCAGCAUUCUGUAUGUGUUACUCUGGAUUGCCAUUACCUGCAGAAUCUUUUGUGUUUGAAAUCACAAUAUGUUCCUGUUUAAGCUUUUGGCUGGCCACUUACAACCUCUUCUGAGCUGAAUGAACUUACCGCAGAUUAUGUCCACAAAACCCUGCCGUGUCUCCGUUGAAUUCAGUGUUGCAUCUGCCAGUGUGCAUCCAGUUUCCAUUAUGAAUCUCUCGGGAACAUAUUAAGCUUGGAGACUUGUUCCCUUCAAGCUGGAUUAAAGCAACGAGGGAGAUUGAAACAUCGAGGCAAAUGUGGAAGGUGAGCACUGACUGACUGCCUUCUGAUCGCUGUUGGGAUCGCUCUGCUACCAGAGAGGGGAGAAUGUGUGACCUCCUGCUGUGGCCAGAAAAUGGAUACAGCAGAGUAACAGCCCCUUCCAACGGGCCCACGCCACUCAGUUACUCCCAUGGGACUAAUUAAUCUACAAGCCCGUGCACCUCGUUGGAGAACAUACAAACACCUUGCAGACAGCAGCGGAAAUCGAACCCGAGUCACUGGCUCUGCAAUAGCUUUACGCUAACCGUUAUGCUUCUGUGCUGCCCCAAUUUACUGUAUGUAACUGUCUUACAGUUAGAUUGGUGUUUCACACAGCAAAAAGCAAGUUGGAGGGGAGAAGAAGAUGGCGGCGUGACGCAGCGCGCGCAGCCACUCCAAAUUGAUAUCGUAUUUGUUAAAUAGGGGCCGUGCACAAUCCUGAUUUGAUGGAGACGGGCGUGAGAAGCACGGAGGAACAUUUGGAGAAACUUCUGAAAUGCCCGCUUCACUGCCGCUGCUACUGUGCGAUCGAGAAUCGCCGGAGGGGAAGGCCCCAAAUCCUCGACUUUGCCUAUUGCCCGUUGCCAGGGCCGGGGACGAAGCGCUCGGCAGAGAUGGUGCUCGGUGCUCGGUGUCAGAGGGCUGUUCAGAGGCUCGAAGUUUUUGGACGGACUCAGAGUCGGACUGUGGUCAGGUGUUUCCAGGAUGCUGCAUCGGCAAGUUUGCAGCGCUGAAAGCUCAUGGCAGGGAUCUGCGUGAGAUGAUAGGACUUUCGAGAGACUUUGAGACUUCUUUUUUACCAUGCCCAUGGUCUGUUCUUCAUCAAAUUAUGGUAUUGCUUCGCACUGUUGUAACUAUAUGUUAUAAUUAUGUGGUUUUUGUCAGUUUAUUUUUAGUCUUGGUUUGUAUUGUGUUUCUGUGGUAUCAUUCUGGAGGAACAAAUUGUA